GGGGCGGCCUAACAAUGCCAGUCGAGCGGAACGAUCCUAGCUUGCUAGGAGGCGUCGAGCGGCGGACGGGUGAGUAAUGCAUAGGAAUCUGCCCGGUAGUGGGGGAUAACCUGAGGAAACUCAGGCUAAUACCGCAUACGUCCUACGGGAGAAAGCAGGGGCUCUUCGGACCUUGCGCUAUCGGAUGAGCUUAUGUCGGAUUAGCUGGUUGGUGAGGUAACGGCUCACCAAGGCGACGAUCCGUAGCUGGUCUGAGAGGAUGAUCAGCCACAUCGGGACUGAGACACGGCCCGAACUCCUACGGGAGGCAGCAGUGGGGAAUAUUGGACAAUGGGGGCAACCCUGAUCCAGCCAUGCCGCGUGUGUGAAGAAGGCCCUCGGGUUGUAAAGCACUUUCAGUGAGGAAGAAGGCUUGUCGGUUAAUACCCGGCAAGAAAGACAUCACUCACAGAAGAAGCACCGGCUAACUCCGUGCCAGCAGCCGCGGUAAUACGGAGGGUGCGAGCGUUAAUCGGAAUUACUGGGCGUAAAGCGUGCGUAGGCGGCUUGAUAAGCCGGUUGUGAAAGCCCCGGGCUCAACCUGGGAACGGCAUCCGGAACUGUCAGGCUAGAGUGCAGGAGAGGAAGGUAGAAUUCCCGGUGUAGCGGUGAAAUGCGUAGAGAUCGGGAGGAAUACCAGUGGCGAAGGCGGCCUUCUGGACUGACACUGACGCUGAGGUACGAAAGCGUGGGUAGCAAACAGGAUUAGAUACCCUGGUAGUCCACGCCGUAAACGAUGUCUACUAGUCGUUGGGGUCCUCGAGACCUUUGUGGCGCAUUUAACGCACUAAGUCGACCGCUUGGGGAGUACGGCCGCAAGGUAAAACUCAAAUGAAUUGACGGGGGCCUGCACAAGCGGUGGAGCAUGUGGUUUAAUUCGAU
rnacentral:rRNA from 1 species